CUGCACCUACUGUGCUAUGAGGCUAAUGCGCAGUAAGCAUCACUAAAUAACCGUGCGCUGGCACUACUGCACAGUAACUCCAGGUACUGAGCAUUUAGUCAGUACUUUAUUAAGCAAGUACUACAAUAAAUGCACAGUAUCUAAGAUGUGCACAUGGACAUAUAAACAUGCGCGCUGAGGACCAGGCACUCGUGAGGACUCAGGGUGCUGAGGUAGUGGGUUCUUGCUGAUCAGCUCUGUGAGUGGGGGUGCCGACCUUAGCCAGGUUCAAGAUAGCCCCUGCGUUUGGGCCCAGAGAUGGGCCAGGCAGCCAGCACCGCCUCAGCCAUUUGCAGGAUUUCCAUCUGCAGCCCUGGGGAGAACAGGGUUGCCCCAUCCUGUCUCUGUGGGGUGGCUGAAGUAGACCCUGUCCCCCGACUCCAGCUGCCACCUGGCUUCAGUUGUGGGGUCAUGUAAGUUUUCUGCAGGAAUAGUACAGAGUGCACCCCUGUCCAAAUGGACCUGAGGAGACCUGUCCUGCAGCCAUGGAUGCUGAGGCGGUGAUGGUGAGGGUCCUCAGGGCUGAGGGUUGCUGGGAGACUCAGUGGGGGCUCAUGAGGGACAGUGCCAGUCGCAGGGCCAGCAGCAACUGCAUUCUCCUUCUGCAGAUGAGACGGUGUUGUGAAAGCGGUGGGCCUGCUGGAAAUCUCUGCCAUUCUGCCUCCUGGGCCCCUUGCCCUCCCUCCCCAGAGCCUUCCUUCCUGGCACAAGGAUCUGGUGAUAAUCCCCACAGCCAUCCUGGUGAGCUGCACCUUGUUUCCAGAGUGCAGCGGGUUCUCCAGACUUGGUCAGGAAAUGUCACUGUUUCAUCAUGGAUGCUGCCAGUUUGCUUAAUUUUCCUUUCUGUUUUCCCUUCUGUACACGUAUGGAGAAUUAGAGUAAGUGUCCUGUCUUUAAUAAUGUGCAUUUGCAUUUCUAAUCCAUCAAAUGCUUAUCUUUGUUUUUAGAGAGUUCAUAGCCAAGGACUUCCCAGUUUUUACUUAUGAUGAGAAGGGAGACCUGAUAACUGAUAAUCCAUAUAUCCAAGUUGCUUUGCCUGAAACCUGCAUCUUUUCUCGCUGUCUAAAGUAUAAAUACGCUUGUACAUUUGUAGAGGUCAGAGUUCCUUUGAGAACUCUCCCUGUGAUCACUUGUAUAGUUUUAAAUAAACCUAGAUGGCUCUGCCAAGUCUAAUACAA